CGGCCAGCCACACUGGGACUGAGACACGGCCCAGACUCCUACGGGAGGCAGCAGUGGGGAAUUUUGGACAAUGGGGGCAACCCUGAUCCAGCCAUUCCGCGUGAGUGAAGAAGGCCUUCGGGUUGUAAAGCUCUUUCAGCCGGAACGAAACGGUACGCUCUAACAUAGCGUGCUAAUGACGGUACCGGCAGAAGAAGCACCGGCUAACUACGUGCCAGCAGCCGCGGUAAUACGUAGGGUGCGAGCGUUAAUCGGAAUUACUGGGCGUAAAGCGUGCGCAGGCGGAUUGUUAAGCAAGAUGUGAAAUCCCCGGGCUUAACCUGGGAAUGGCAUUUUGAACUGGCAGUCUAGAGUGUGUCAGAGGGGGGUGGAAUUCCACGUGUAGCAGUGAAAUGCGUAGAUAUGUGGAGGAACACCAAUGGCGAAGGCAGCCCCCUGGGAUAACACUGACGCUCAUGUACGAAAGCGUGGGUAGCAAACAGGAUUAGAUACCCUGGUAGUCCACGCCCUAAACGAUGUCAACUGGUUGUUGGGGGAGUGAAAUCCCUUAGUAACGAAGCUAACGCGUGAAGUUGACCGCCUGGGGAGUACGGUCGCAAGAUUAAAACUCAAA
rnacentral:rRNA from 1 species